UUCUUUGGCCCUGUCCCAAAAGUUUAUUAUCAGCAAUCCACAAGGGUCCAUGCGUCCCUAGACCCUGAUAAUCAUUACGACCCAAGCAGUCCUAUAGCCUCAGAUAUGGAACCCUCACGAUCCGUUUUUUGGUAUCAAAGCCAUGUUGGCAGAUUGUGUACUCAGCAUGAGCAGCUAAGUACAUAAUCUGUCUAGAGCAUGGGAAAAUUAAACUAUUUUCGUAUAAGAAGCAUUUACCUUUACUCAUCUAUGAUUAUACUUUUAAUAAAUUAACAUAAUAUAUCAUGUCUUAUAAUGGUGUUUACUUUUAGUAUGGGGUAUUCAUCUUCUCUAAAGUGUUUGAAGGAACCGAUUAAUCUCCGGUCUUAGACGUUCGUCAGCCUAAAAAGUGUGGUCUCAGCUAAGGUAAGCGUACGACCCUAAUUGGUAGUUCCGUCACUAAGAUCACACUUAAGAUAAGUCUGUUAUAAAGCCAUUAAGACUAAUGUAGAUCCCAUAAGCCUUUGAUGUAUUGUUUUACUUUAUUACAGGUUGUAUCAUAGUUGUUAACCGUUUUAUGCUUUCUUAGGUGAAAAUUGUUUGCUUUCCCAGUCAGUCUCUAGACAGUAUUUUCAAAUAUGAAUCCCAACAUUCAUACAAAAAAUACUAUCAACUUAUCUUCUAAAGCAACUCCGAUUGCUACUAUCGAAAAUAAUCUUCAGAACUGGAGUAUUCCAGAAGAGUCUUUUAACACGAUUUACCAAAUCGGAAAAUUUAGUUUUUUCAAAAAACAUAAUAUUAAGACCUCUGAGUCUACUGUUGCCAUAAAUAAUUCUUUAGAAAUUAUUCAACUUUUAAAUGACCUAGAUAUAAACCGAUUUAAAGGUCAGUUUCAUUAUCUGCAUAUUGGCCUUGUCCAGGUGGCCAUUAAACCACUCUUUAGACAAGGUUUAGACGUUCCCGUCUGUGCUAUACUAAGAGAUGCUCGUCUUUUAAAUUUUGACGAUUCACUCUUAGGAGUUAUCCAAAGUAACCUAGCCGACGGCCCGGUAUACUUUAAUUGUUACCCUAAUUUCUCCGUAGAUAUUAAUGAUCCAAACAUCAUGGAUGUUUUAACCCUUAAUGUUAAAACAAAAAACAUGAAUAGUAAGGAUAAUACUAGAGAAAUUGCGAUAAUAUACAGAGUAUACUAUCGACUGAUGGGUACAACUUUAGCACCCCAAGUUAGAUUCACUAGCCCUAGGGGUGUCACCACUCUUAUGGAGGCCAACAAAGAUAGAUCCAAUGUCUUUGUCCCCAAACCCUUGGCCUGGGAAGAGGCUAUCCAUAAUAACGAAUGGCACUUUGAUGUAAUCACUCAACCCAUUCGUUUAUACCCUGAAAAGUCUCAAAUACAACGAGUUGUUCAGUAUCCUGAUGGCUCGAUUGAUUUGAAAUUCCUCGGCUUCGACACCCCUCGAAACUCUUCGUUUCGACGAUCGGCCUCACACAGAGCUUCCACCUCAAAAACCCAGUAGGGAAGUGAUGAAAAUGAUAAUAACAAUGAAAAGGGCAAAGUAAGAGGAGUAGAUUUCUCUGGCCCUGUCCCAAAAGUUUAUUAUCAGUCCUACGGCCUCAGAUAUGGAACCCCCCCUUCCAUAUCACGCCAGAAAAUUAGGACUGACCCUAGCCUACUCGUUAUCAAAUCUGAUGACGAGUAUACACCUGACCUUAAAGCUCUCGAAGCCCGAUGGUACCUUCCCAAAGACGCUCUAAAAAGGAAAUGGUACACCAGUACCUAUUCUAAAGAGCAGCAAAAGGAGUUUGGUCGGCUAUGGAUAGCUGAUAUGAAAAGACUCCGAUGUGACAUUGAAUUCUUCCGAUGGUUCGAAUUCACCGGCCGAAUGGAAGAUCAAAAUGAAUCCCUCAACGUUAUCAUUAACAAAUGGUAUACCCAGAGUAACAAGAUAAUUGAAUCCGUUACUCCUCNNNNN
rnacentral:lncRNA from 1 species